UACGAAUGGUGCAAGCGUUAAUCGUAAUUACUGGGCGGAAAGCGCGCGUAGGUGGUUCGUUAAGUUGGAUGUGCAAGCCCCGGGCUCAACCUGGGAACUGCAUCCAAAACUGGCGAGCGAGAUGAUGGCAGAGGGUGGUGGAAGUUCCUGUGGAGCGGUGACAGGCGUCGAUAUAGGAAGGACAACCAGUGGCGAAGGCGACCACAUGGGAGAAUACUGAAACGGAGUUGCGCACUCGUUGUGAGCCCACAGGCGGCGAUCACACCGGAGUCC
rnacentral:rRNA from 1 species